UACGUAGGGGGCAAGCGUUGUCCGGAUUUAUUGGGCGUAAAGAGCGUGUAGGCGGCCAGGUAGGUCCGUUGUGAAAACUCGAGGCUCAACCUCGAGACGUCGGCGGAAACCCUCUGGCUAGAGUCCGGAAGAGGAGAGUGGAAUUCCUGGUGUAGCGGUGAAAUGCGCAGAUAUCAGGAAGAACACCCGUGGCGAAGGCGGUUCUCUGGGCCUGUACUGACGCUGAGGAACGAAAGCGUGGGGAGCGAACAGG
rnacentral:rRNA from 1 species